AGUGAACGCUGGCGGCGUGCCUAAUACAUGCAAGUCGAACGGAGUGGCGCACGGGCGAGUAAUAUAUAGCUAAUCUGCCCCUUGCUGGAGGACAACAGUUAGAAAUGACUGCUAAUACUCCAUAGCAGGGGAUGAGACUAUAUCGUAUCAGCUAGUCGGUGGGGUAACGGCCGACCGAGGCUAUGAAGCGUAACUGGUCUGAGGGGAUGAUCAGUAACAUUGGAACUGAGGCACGGUCCGAACAUCUACGGGAGGCAGCAGUAGGGAAUAUUGCGCAAGGGGGGAAACCCUGACGCAGCAACGCGGCGUGGAGGAUGAUAAUUUUCGGAGCGUAAUCUCCUUUUGUUAGGGAAGCGUUACCUAACGAAUAAGCACCGGCUAACUCCGUGCCAGCAGCCGCGGUAAUUC
rnacentral:rRNA from 1 species